rnacentral:rRNA from 1 species
AACGAACGCUGGCGGCGCGCCUAAUACAUGCAAGUCGAGCGAGAAGACGUAGCAAUACGUUUGUAAAGCGGCGAACGGGUGAGGAAUACAUGGGUAACCUACCCUCGAGUGGGGAAUAACUAGCCGAAAGGUUAGCUAAUACCGCGUACGCUCCUUGGACUUCGGCUCAAGGAGGAAAGCGAUACCGUGGGUAUCGCGCUCUUGGAUGGGCUCAUGUCCUAUCAGCUUGNGGUGAGGUAACGGCUCACCAAGGCUUCGACGGGUAGCUGGUCUGAGAGGACGAUCAGCCACACUGGCACUGCGACACGGGCCAGACUCCUACGGGAGGCAGCAGUAAGG